UCUCGGUAGCAGUGAAUGGGCCAAAUCGGGAAAUAGACAGAGGAGAUUAGCAUCACCCCUGUGCAGGGAUGGCAUGCAAAUUCACAAAGCAGUCUAUCUUCUC